UACGGGGGGGGCAAGCGUUGUUCGGAAUUACUGGGCGUAAAGGGCUCGUAGGCGGCCAACUAAGUCAGACGUGAAAUCCCUCGGCUUAACCGGGGAACUGCGUCUGAUACUGGAUGGCUUGAGUUCGGGAGAGGGAUGCGGAAUUCCAGGUGUAGCGGUGAAAUGCGUAGAUAUCUGGAGGAACACCGGUGGCGAAGGCGGCAUCCUGGACCGACACUGACGCUGAGAAGCGAAAGCAUGGGGAGCGAACAGG
rnacentral:rRNA from 1 species